UACGUAGGGUGCGAGCGUUAAUCGGAAUUACUGGGCGUAAAGCGUGCGCAGGCGGUUCGCUGUGUCCGAUGUGAAAGCCCCGGGCUCAACCUGGGAAUGGCAUGGGAAACUGGCGGGCUGGAGUGUGGCAGAGGGGGGUGGAAUUCCGCGUGUAGCAGUGAAAUGCGUAGAGAUGCGGAGGAACACCGAUGGCGAAGGCAGCCCCCUGGGCCAACACUGACGCUCAGGCACGAAAGCGUGGGGAGCAAGCAGG
rnacentral:rRNA from 1 species